rnacentral:rRNA from 1 species
UACGUAGGGUGCAAGCGUUGUCCGGAAUUAUUGGGCGUAAAGAGCUUGUAGGCGGUUUGUCGCGUCUGCUGUGAAAUUUCGGGGCUCAACCCCGAACUUGCAGUGGGUACGGGCAGACUAGAGUGUGGUAGGGGGAGACUGGAAUUCCUGGUGUAGCGGUGAAAAUGCGCAGAUAUCAGGAGGAACACCGAUGGCGAAGGCAGGUCUCUGGGCCAUAACUGACGCUGAGAAGCGAAAAGCAUGGGGGAGCGAACAGGA